rnacentral:rRNA from 1 species
UGGGGAAUAUUGCACAAUGGGCGCAAGCCUGAUGCAGCCAUGCCGCGUGUAUGAAGAAGGCCUUCGGGUUGUAAAGUACUUUCAGUCGGGAGGAAGGUGUCAAGGUUAAUAACCUUGGCAAUUGACGUUACCGACAGAAGAAGCACCGGCUAACUCCGUGCCAGCAGCCGCGGUAAUACGGAGGGUGCAAGCGUUAAUCGGAAUUACUGGGCGUAAAGCGCACGCAGGCGGUUUGUUAAGUCAGAUGUGAAAUCCCCGGGCUCAACCUGGGAACUGCAUCUGAUACUGGCAAGCUUGAGUCUCGUAGAGGGGGGUAGAAUUCCAGGUGUAGCGGUGAAAUGCGUAGAGAUCUGGAGGAAUACCGGUGGCGAAGGCGGCCCCCAGGACGAAGACUGACGCUCAGGUGCGAAAGCGUGGGGAGCAAACAGG